rnacentral:tRNA from 1 species
AGGGGCAAAAGUGGGGUUGAGCGGACUCAUAAUCCUUUGGUCGUAGGUUCAAGUCCUACACGCCCUA